rnacentral:tRNA from 1 species
CGGGGCGUGGCGCAGCCUGGUUAGCGCGCUGGACUGGGGGUCCAGAGGUCGCCGGUUCAAAUCCGGCCGCCCCGACCA